rnacentral:rRNA from 1 species
GAUGAACGCUGGCGGCGUGCCUAAUACAUGCAAGUCGAGCGAACAGACGAGGAGCUUGCUCCUCUGACGUUAGCGGCGGACGGGUGAGUAACACGUGGAUAACCUACCUAUAAGACUGGGAUAACUUCGGGAAACCGGAGCUAAUACCGGAUAAUAUAUUGAACCGCAUGGUUCAAUAGUGAAAGACGGUUUUGGUGUCACUUCUAGCUGGAUCCGCGCCGCAUUAGCUAGUUGGGAAGGUAACGGCCUACCAAGGCAACGAUGCGUAGCCGACCUGAGAGGGUGAUCGGCCACACUGGAACUGAGACACGCUCCAGACUCCUACGGGAGGCAGCAGUAGGGAAUCUUACGCAAUGGGCGAAAGCUUGACGCAGCAACGCCGCGUGAGUGAUGAAGGUCUUCGGAUCGUAAAACUCUGUUAUUAGGGAAGAACAAAUGUGUAAGUAACUAUGCACGUCUUGACGGUACCUAAUCAGAAAGCCACGGCUAACUACGUG